rnacentral:lncRNA from 1 species
UGUGCUGGCCUGGGACUGACUGGUGUGCUGGCCUGGGACUGACUGGUGUGCUGUCCUGGGACUGACUGGUGUGCUGGCCUGGGACUGACUGGUGUGCUGGCCUGGCACUAAUGCUGGUGUGCUGUCCUGGGACUGACUGGUGUGCUGGCCUGGGACUGACUGGUGUGCUGGCCUGGGACUGACUGGUGUGCUGGCCUGGGACUGACUGGUGUGCUGGCCUGGGACUGACUGGUGUGCUGGCCUGGGACUGACUGGUGUGCUGGCCUGGGACUGACUGGUGUGCUGGCCUGGCACUGAUGUGCUGUCCUGGGACUGACUGGUCUGGCACUGACGCUG